rnacentral:rRNA from 1 species
GGGUUGUGAGGUUAAGCGACUAAGCGUACACGGUGGAUGCCCUGGCAGUCAGAGGCGAUGAAGGACGUGCUAAUCUGCGAUAAGCGUCGGUAAGGUGAUAUGAACCGUUAUAACCGGCGAUUUCCGAAUGGGGAAACCCAGUGUGAUUCGUCACACUAUCAUUAACUGAAUCCAUAGGUUAAUGAGGCGAACCGGGGGAACUGAAACAUCUAAGUACCCCGAGGAAAAGAAAUCAACCGAGAUUCCCCCAGUAGCGGCGAGCGAACGGGGAGCAGCCCAGAGCCUGAAUCAGUGUGUGUGUUAGUGGAAGCGUCUGGAAAGGCGCGCGAUACAGGGUGACAGCCCCGUACACAAAAAUGCACAUGCUGUGAGCUCGAUGAGUAGGGCGGGACACGUGGUAUCCUGUCUGAAUAUGGGGGGACCAUCCUCCAAGGCUAAAUACUCCUGACUGACCGAUAGUGAACCAGUACCGUGAGGGAAAGGCGAAAAGAACCCCGGCGAGGGGAGUGAAAAAGAACCUGAAACCGUGUACGUACAAGCAGUGGGAGCACGCUUAGGCGUGUGACUGCGUACCUUUUGUAUAAUGGGUCAGCGACUUAUAUUCUGUAGCAAGGUUAACCGAAUAGGGGAGCCGAAGGGAAACCGAGUCUUAACUGGGCGUUAAGUUGCAGGGUAUAGACCCGAAACCCGGUGAUCUAGCCAUGGGCAGGUUGAAGGUUGGGUAACACUAACUGGAGGACCGAACCGACUAAUGUUGAAAAAUUAGCGGAUGACUUGUGGCUGGGGGUGAAAGGCCAAUCAAACCGGGAGAUAGCUGGUUCUCCCCGAAAGCUAUUUAGGUAGCGCCUCGUGAAUUCAUCUCCGGGGGUAGAGCACUGUUUCGGCAAGGGGGUCAUCCCGACUUACCAACCCGAUGCAAACUGCGAAUACCGGAGAAUGUUAUCACGGGAGACACACGGCGGGUGCUAACGUCCGUCGUGAAGAGGGAAACAACCCAGACCGCCAGCUAAGGUCCCAAAGUCAUGGUUAAGUGGGAAACGAUGUGGGAAGGCCCAGACAGCCAGGAUGUUGGCUUAGAAGCAGCCAUCAUUUAAAGAAAGCGUAAUAGCUCACUGGUCGAGUCGGCCUGCGCGGAAGAUGUAACGGGGCUAAACCAUGCACCGAAGCUGCGGCAGCGACGCUUAUGCGUUGUUGGGUAGGGGAGCGUUCUGUAAGCCUGUGAAGGUGUACUGUGAGGUAUGCUGGAGGUAUCAGAAGUGCGAAUGCUGACAUAAGUAACGAUAAAGCGGGUGAAAAGCCCGCUCGCCGGAAGACCAAGGGUUCCUGUCCAACGUUAAUCGGGGCAGGGUGAGUCGACCCCUAAGGCGAGGCCGAAAGGCGUAGUCGAUGGGAAACAGGUUAAUAUUCCUGUACUUGGUGUUACUGCGAAGGGGGGACGGAGAAGGCUAUGUUGGCCGGGCGACGGUUGUCCCGGUUUAAGCGUGUAGGCUGGUUUUCCAGGCAAAUCCGGAAAACUAAGGCUGAGGCGUGAUGACGAGGCACUACGGUGCUGAAGCAACAAAUGCCCUGCUUCCAGGAAAAGCCUCUAAGCAUCAGGUAACAUCAAAUCGUACCCCAAACCGACACAGGUGGUCAGGUAGAGAAUACCAAGGCGCUUGAGAGAACUCGGGUGAAGGAACUAGGCAAAAUGGUGCCGUAACUUCGGGAGAAGGCACGCUGAUAUGUAGGUGAAGUCCCUCGCGGAUGGAGCUGAAAUCAGUCGAAGAUACCAGCUGGCUGCAACUGUUUAUUAAAAACACAGCACUGUGCAAACACGAAAGUGGACGUAUACGGUGUGACGCCUGCCCGGUGCCGGAAGGUUAAUUGAUGGGGUUAGCGCAAGCGAAGCUCUUGAUCGAAGCCCCGGUAAACGGCGGCCGUAACUAUAACGGUCCUAAGGUAGCGAAAUUCCUUGUCGGGUAAGUUCCGACCUGCACGAAUGGCGUAAUGAUGGCCAGGCUGUCUCCACCCGAGACUCAGUGAAAUUGAACUCGCUGUGAAGAUGCAGUGUACCCGCGGCAAGACGGAAAGACCCCGUGAACCUUUACUAUAGCUUGACACUGAACAUUGAGCCUUGAUGUGUAGGAUAGGUGGGAGGCUUUGAAGUGUGGACGCCAGUCUGCAUGGAGCCGACCUUGAAAUACCACCCUUUAAUGUUUGAUGUUCUAACGUUGACCCGUAAUCCGGGUUGCGGACAGUGUCUGGUGGGUAGUUUGACUGGGGCGGUCUCCUCCUAAAGAGUAACGGAGGAGCACGAAGGUUGGCUAAUCCUGGUCGGACAUCAGGAGGUUAGUGCAAUGGCAUAAGCCAGCUUGACUGCGAGCGUGACGGCGCGAGCAGGUGCGAAAGCAGGUCAUAGUGAUCCGGUGGUUCUGAAUGGAAGGGCCAUCGCUCAACGGAUAAAAGGUACUCCGGGGAUAACAGGCUGAUACCGCCCAAGAGUUCAUAUCGACGGCGGUGUUUGGCACCUCGAUGUCGGCUCAUCACAUCCUGGGGCUGAAGUAGGUCCCAAGGGUAUGGCUGUUCGCCAUUUAAAGUGGUACGCGAGCUGGGUUUAGAACGUCGUGAGACAGUUCGGUCCCUAUCUGCCGUGGGCGCUGGAGAACUGAGGGGGGCUGCUCCUAGUACGAGAGGACCGGAGUGGACGCAUCACUGGUGUUCGGGUUGUCAUGCCAAUGGCACUGCCCGGUAGCUAAAUGCGGAAGAGAUAAGUGCUGAAAGCAUCUAAGCACGAAACUUGCCCCGAGAUGAGUUCUCCCUGACUCCUUGAGAGUCCUGAAGGAACGUUGAAGACGACGACGUUGAUAGGCCGGGUGUGUAAGCGCAGCGAUGCGUUGAGCUAACCGGUACUAAUGAACCGUGAGGCUUAACCUUACAACGCCGAAG